rnacentral:rRNA from 1 species
UGACGGGCCGCACAAGCGGUGAGUAUGUGGUUUAAUCGAUGCAACGCGAAGAACCUUACCUGGUCUUGACAUCCCGGAGACCCUUAGGAAACUAGGGGGUGCCUUCCAUCUGGAAGAAUCUGGAGACAGGGUGCUGCAUGGCUGUCGUCAGCUCGUGUCGUGAGAUGUUGGGUUAAGUCCCCGCAACGAGCGCAACCCCUUGCCUUUAGUUGCCAGCAGUUCGGCUGGGCACUCUAAAGGGACUGCCGGUGUUAAACCGGAGGAAGGUGGGGAUGACGUCAAGUCCUCAUGGCCUUUAUGACCAGGGCUACACACGUACUACAAUGGCCGAUACAAAGGGCAGCGACACUGCGAGGUGAAGCCAAUCCCGUAAAAUCGGUCUCAGUCCGGAUUGGAGUCUGCAACUCGACUCCAUGAAGUUGGAAUCGCUAGUAAUCGUGGAUCAGCAUGCCACGGUGAAUACGUUCCCGGGCCUU